rnacentral:lncRNA from 1 species
UUGCUAGGGUGGGUUCGGUCCCCGUGUUGCCGGAGCGUAGGAAGGACGCUUGCGGGGUGAGGACGCCCCCCACACGUGGCUCGCGGGUCUGUCCCGGAGGCACGUGCGCUGGGGUAGUUAACCCGCGGGCGGAGUGGCUAGCCGCUACUGUUUGGCCCUAGGUCGGUACUGCGGGUCCGUUCAGGGUCCCUAGUCUGGCCAGGCAUGUGGUUGGUGAGUCCCCGGGUACGUAAGGCUAAAAGCACGAGAAGGACAGAGCCUUUCCUCGGCAAGUUAGUCUUAGGAAGAGAAGCAAGCAAAAAUAACAUUGGAUAUAUUUAUAUUGAAGCUUGGUCGAAACAAGUUGAUAGAAAAUACUAGCAAUGACAAGGGAAGCUAACAUAAAAAGUACUAAGGCGCCUCACGCCGCUUGCAGGAAAACACAAAGAAAAAGAAAAGGAAAAAAGGAACUACGCGGGACGAGCUCCCGGGGUGGUUGCGUCGGUGGCAGGGGCGUCCUUGGCAUCGGUGGCUUCUCCGGCAACCUCCUCAGCAGCGGCUUCAUCGUCGUCGACCUUGCCCUGCAUCCGAGCCACUAUCUCAUCCACCACGCUCUGCACCGCCUCCCGGUGAGCCUUGGCCUCUUCUUCGUCUGACC